UUAAGUUAUUAAGGGCGCACGGUGGAUGCCUUGGCACUAGAAGCCGAUGAAGGACGUUACUAACGACGAUAUGCUUUGGGGAGCUGUAAGUAAGCUUUGAUCCAGAGAUUUCCGAAUGGGGAAACCCAGCAUGAGUUAUGUCAUGUUAUCGAUAUGUGAAUACAUAGCAUAUCAGAAGGCACACCCGGAGAACUGAAACAUCUUAGUACCCGGAGGAAGAGAAAGAAAAUUCGAUUCCCUUAGUAGCGGCGAGCGAAACGGGAAGAGCCCAAACCAACAAGCUUGCUUGUUGGGGUUGUAGGACACUCUGUACGGAGUUACAAAGGACGACAUUAGACGAAUCAUCUGGAAAGAUGAAUCAAAGAAGGUAAUAAUCCUGUAGUCGAAAAUGUUGUCUCUCUUGAGUGGAUCCUGAGUACGACGGAGCACGUGAAAUUCCGUCGGAAUCUGGGAGGACCAUCUCCUAAGGCUAAAUACUCUCUAGUGACCGAUAGUGAACCAGUACCGUGAGGGAAAGGUGAAAAGCACCCCGGAAGGGGAGUGAAAUAGAACCUGAAACCGUGUGCUUACAAGUAGUCAGAGCCCGUUAAUGGGUGAUGGCGUGCCUUUUGUAGAAUGAACCGGCGAGUUACGAUUUGAUGCAAGGUUAAGCAGUAAAUGUGGAGCCGUAGCGAAAGCGAGUCUGAAUAGGGCGUUUAGUAUUUGGUCGUAGACCCGAAACCAGGUGAUCUACCCUUGGUCAGGUUGAAGUUCAGGUAACACUGAAUGGAGGACCGAACCGACUUACGUUGAAAAGUGAGCGGAUGAACUGAGGGUAGCGGAGAAAUUCCAAUCGAACCUGGAGAUAGCUGGUUCUCUCCGAAAUAGCUUUAGGGCUAGCCUCAAGUGAUGAUUAUUGGAGGUAGAGCACUGUUUGGACGAGGGGCCCCUCUCGGGUUACCGAAUUCAGACAAACUCCGAAUGCCAAUUAAUUUAACUUGGGAGUCAGAACAUGGGUGAUAAGGUCCGUGUUCGAAAGGGAAACAGCCCAGACCACCAGCUAAGGUCCCAAAAUAUAUGUUAAGUGGAAAAGGAUGUGGCGUUGCCCAGACAACUAGGAUGUUGGCUUAGAAGCAGCCAUCAUUUAAAGAGUGCGUAAUAGCUCACUAGUCGAGUGACACUGCGCCGAAAAUGUACCGGGGCUAAACAUAUUACCGAAGCUGUGGAUUGUCCUUUGGACAAUGGUAGGAGAGCGUUCUAAGGGCGUUGAAGCAUGAUCGUAAGGACAUGUGGAGCGCUUAGAAGUGAGAAUGCCGGUGUGAGUAGCGAAAGACGGGUGAGAAUCCCGUCCACCGAUUGACUAAGGUUUCCAGAGGAAGGCUCGUCCGCUCUGGGUUAGUCGGGUCCUAAGCUGAGGCUGACAGGCGUAGGCGAUGGAUAACAGGUUGAUAUUCCUGUACCACCUAUAAUCGUUUUAAUCGAUGGGGGGACGCAGUAGGAUAGGCGAAGCGUGCGAUUGGAUUGCACGUCUAAGCAGUAAGGCUGAGUAUUAGGCAAAUCCGGUACUCGUUAAGGCUGAGCUGUGAUGGGGAGAAGACAUUGUGUCUUCGAGUCGUUGAUUUCACACUGCCGAGAAAAGCCUCUAGAUAGAAAAUAGGUGCCCGUACCGCAAACCGACACAGGUAGUCAAGAUGAGAAUUCUAAGGUGAGCGAGCGAACUCUCGUUAAGGAACUCGGCAAAAUGACCCCGUAACUUCGGGAGAAGGGGUGCUCUUUAGGGUUAACGCCCAGAAGAGCCGCAGUGAAUAGGCCCAAGCGACUGUUUAUCAAAACACAGGUCUCUGCUAAACCGUAAGGUGAUGUAUAGGGGCUGACGCCUGCCCGGUGCUGGAAGGUUAAGAGGAGUGGUUAGCUUCUGCGAAGCUACGAAUCGAAGCCCCAGUAAACGGCGGCCGUAACUAUAACGGUCCUAAGGUAGCGAAAUUCCUUGUCGGGUAAGUUCCGACCCGCACGAAAGGCGUAACGAUUUGGGCACUGUCUCAACGAGAGACUCGGUGAAAUCAUAGUACCUGUGAAGAUGCAGGUUACCCGCGACAGGACGGAAAGACCCCGUGGAGCUUUACUGUAGCCUGAUAUUGAAAUUCGGCACAGCUUGUACAGGAUAGGUAGGAGCCUUUGAAACGUGAGCGCUAGCUUACGUGGAGGCGCUGGUGGGAUACUACCCUAGCUGUGUUGGCUUUCUAACCCGCACCACUUAUCGUGGUGGGAGACAGUGUCAGGCGGGCAGUUUGACUGGGGCGGUCGCCUCCUAAAAGGUAACGGAGGCGCUCAAAGGUUCCCUCAGAAUGGUUGGAAAUCAUUCAUAGAGUGUAAAGGCAUAAGGGAGCUUGACUGCGAGACCUACAAGUCGAGCAGGGUCGAAAGACGGACUUAGUGAUCCGGUGGUUCCGCAUGGAAGGGCCAUCGCUCAACGGAUAAAAGCUACCCCGGGGAUAACAGGCUUAUCUCCCCCAAGAGUUCACAUCGACGGGGAGGUUUGGCACCUCGAUGUCGGCUCAUCGCAUCCUGGGGCUGUAGUCGGUCCCAAGGGUUGGGCUGUUCGCCCAUUAAAGCGGUACGCGAGCUGGGUUCAGAACGUCGUGAGACAGUUCGGUCCCUAUCCGUCGUGGGCGUAGGAAAUUUGAGAGGAGCUGUCCUUAGUACGAGAGGACCGGGAUGGACAUACCUCUGGUGUACCAGUUGUCGUGCCAACGGCAUAGCUGGGUAGCUAUGUGUGGACGGGAUAAGUGCUGAAAGCAUCUAAGCAUGAAGCCCCCUCAAGAUGAGAUUUCCCAACUUCGGUUAUAAGAUCCCUCAAAGAUGAUGAGGUUAAUAGGUUCGAGGUGGAAGCAUGGUGACAUGUGGAGCUGACGAAUACUAAUCGAUCGAAGACUUAAUCAA
rnacentral:rRNA from 1 species